GUGCCAGCCGCCGCGGUAAUACGUAGGUGGCAAGCGUUAUCCGGAAUUAUUGGGCGUAAAGCGCGCGUAGGCGGUUUUUUAAGUCUGAUGUGAAGCCCACGGCUCAACCGUGGAGGGUCAUUGGAAACUGGAAAACUUGAGUGCAGAAGAGGAAAGUGGAAUUCCAUGUGUAGCGGUGAAAUGCGCAGAGAUAUGGAGGAACACCAGUGGCGAAGGCGACUUUCUGGUCUGUAACUGACGCUGAUGUGCGGAAGCGUGGGGAUCAAACAGGAUUAGAUA
rnacentral:rRNA from 1 species